rnacentral:rRNA from 1 species
GACGAACGCUGGCGGCGUGCCUAAUACAUGCAAGUAGAAUGCUGAAGAGAGGAGCUUGCUCUUCUUGGUUGAGUUGAGAACGGGUGAGUAACGCGUAGGUAACCUGCCUUGUAGCGGGGGAUAACUAUUGGAAACGAUAGCUAAUACCGCAUAACAAUGGAUGACUCAUGUCAUUUAUUUGAAAGGGGCAAAUGCUCCACUACAAGAUGGACCUGCGUUGUAUUAGCUAGUAGGUGAGGUAACGGCUCACCUAGGCGACGAUACAUAGCCGACCUGAGAGGGUGAUCGGCCACACUGGGACUGAGACACGGCCCAGACUCCUAUGGGAGGCAGCAGUAGGGAAUCUUCGGCAAUGGGGGCAACCCUGACCGAGCAACGUCGCGUGAGUGAAGAAGGUUUUCGGAUCGUAAAGCUCUGUUGUAGGUCAAGAACGAGUGUGAGAGUGGAAAGUUCACACUGUGACUGUAGCUUACCGGAAAGGGACGGCUAACUACGUGC